AUAACUCUGCAAAAAUUUGAGGCAGCUCAACCUGGAAAAAUCACUGUCUCAUUAAGCUUUAUACUUGAAUUUUGAGAUUUUGAUUUACUGAAGCCACUCUCUGAUUCUUGUGGGGUUUAAAAUGGACUGAGAUCUUGGUUUCAAAAGUUUGGCUUUGAAUAUUUUCUUUGGUGGUGCAUCUGGUGUUUCAAGCUUGAAAUUGGGUCUGGGAUCUGAAGCUUGUUCUGCAGAUUUAUGUAUCGUUACCUUGUUGUUGUUCUGCUAUUGUUGCUUCCCUAAUCUCAAGCGUUGUUUUUUUUUUUGGUUUAUUUUUCCAUAUUCAGGUACAUAUUUAUG
rnacentral:lncRNA from 1 species